UCCCAUAUCCUGGCCAAACCAAGUUGACCAUUGCACCAAGUGUAAUUGGGCCCCGAAAGCCUAGGUCAAUUAGGCCAAUAUCAUGGAUAAAAGAUUUGAACUCCUUAUAAUAUCACAAUCGGGUUAAAAAGGUGUGGCCCCCCCUCGGGCUUGUCCUCAAUGAAAAGAAUGGUAUUAAAGUCUGCAAUUAAAAGAAGGGGAAGAUGAACUUAUAUA
rnacentral:lncRNA from 1 species